rnacentral:rRNA from 1 species
GAUGAACGCUGGCGGCGUGCCUAACACAUGCAAGUCGAACGAAGCACUGCAGACGGAGAUUCGUCGAAGCCUGCUUUGACUUAGUGGCGGACGGGUGAGUAAUGCGUGAGCAACCUGCCUUUCAGAGGGGGACAACAGUUGGAAACGACUGCUAAUACCGCAUGAUGUAUUUUGGGGGCAUCCCUGAGAUACCAAAGGAGCAAUCCGCUGAAAGAUGGGCUCACGUCUGAUUAGCUAGUUGGUGAGGUAACGGCUCACCAAGGCUGCGAUCAGUAGCCGGACUGAGAGGUUGAACGGCCACAUUGGGACUGAGAUACGGCCCAGACUCCUACGGGAGGCAGCAGUGGGGAAUAUUGCACAAUGGGGGAAACCCUGAUGCAGCAACGCCGCGUGAGUGAUGACGGUCUUCGGAUUGUAAAGCUCUGUCUUUAGGGACGAUAAUGACGGUACCUAAGGAGGAAGCCACGGCUAACUACGUG